rnacentral:rRNA from 1 species
GAUUCUGCCAGUAGUCAUAUGCUCCGUUCAAGGGCUAAGCCAUGCAUGUCUCAGUGUACAUGGAUUGAGAGUGGGUCUGUGAAUGGCUCCUUACAUCAGCAGUCAUCUCCGUGAUAGAGUGUGGAUGAUGCCAGAUUUCCCAGGCAUCCAAUGGACAUCCUCCAUAACCUGGUGGCUAAUACACAGAAGCAACGGUCUGCUGCAACACAUGGCCUUUGAAAGCCCAUCCCUGCUGAUGAGGGCCAGCAGUGGAUUGCAACCAGCCGUCUGGAAGACUGGCGCCUGGUAAAGGCAGUGUGCUUGUUGGCUGACUCAGGCUGAUCCCACAGAGGACACCUGCACUGGCAGCAUCAAAGAUGUGAGAUUCCCACACAGCUAGCUUGAUCACACGAACUUCUGACCUAUCAGCCUGGACUGUGGUGUAGUGGACCACAGUGGCCAUCACGGGUAACGGAGAAUCUGGGUUUGAUUCCGGAGAGGGAGCCUGAGAGACGGCUACCACUACCAAGGUGGGCAGCAGGCGCGCAAAUUGCCCAAUGCAAACACAUCUUGCGAGGCAGCAACGAACCGCAACAAUCUUGCAGGCUCUCUCAUAGCUAGCGGGAUCUGUAAUGGAUGCUAUCCAAACACAGUGAUGAGUACCAACUGGAGGGCAAGUCUGGUGCCAGCAGCUGCGGUAAUUCCAGCUCCAAGGGCGUAUACUAACAUUGCUGCUGUUAAAACACUUGUAGUCUGCCACUGGGUGCAGGUCUGCUGGGUGGCCAAUGUGCUGCGCCAGGCACAGCCAAAACUGUGCCGGCAGGGCAUUGGGACACAACCCCCGGCAGUAUGUCCUGUGCCCGCCUCUGAUGAUGGUGAGACCUGCUCCUGCGAGGAGUCUCCUUCAGUGGGGACCCCAAACAGCAACACACCCCAGUGCUUGUCAAGACGUUCCGGGGACACAGUCCAGAGCCGUGUGAUGACACCCCCAGUCUGCUACCGGAGUCCACCAUUGCAGUCACCGUGGAAAACUCAGUGUGCUCAAAGCAUCCAUCUGGCCGGAUGCCCGUCCGUGGAAUGUCAAAGCAACGCCCAGAUGCGGCCAUGGAGUUGUGCUAGCCUUGGAGCCCACUCAGGAGAAUCUGAUGCUGUGCACUUGGCAGGUGGUCCAGGUGUGGCCCGCGUGAUCUGUCAUUUGGGGCCCACCCCACGGACACUGUCCCGUUAUGCAGACUAUCGACCGGAGAUGAUGGGACCACUCAAGGUGGAAGAUAUUGCAACGCCAGAGGUGAAAUUCUUAGACCGCUGCAAGAUUCACAGCGGCGAAGGCGUUCUGCAUGUCUGAGUUCGUCGAUCAAGAAUGAGAGCCUGGGGAGCAAAGGUGAUUAGACACCUCCGUAGUCCAGAGCUGUAAACCAUGCCGGCAGAGGUGAUGAUGGGGCAAUCCUAGGACCCCACCACCACCAACCUUCCCCUGCAACGAGAAAUCCAAGCCUUUGGGUUCAGGGGGGAGUACUGCUGCAAGGCUGAAACUUAAAGGAAUUGACGGAAUGGCACCACAAGGCGUGGAGUAUGCGGCUUAAUUUGACUCAACACGGGGAACGUUACCAGGUCAGGACGUUGCUGGGAUUGACAGAUUGAGAGCUCUUUCUUGAUUCUCCGGAUGGUGGUGCAUGGCCGCUCCUGAUUGGUGGAGUGAUUUGUCUGGUUGAUUCCGAUAACGAGUGAGACAUCUACCUCCCACUAGCCCCAGUCUCGCAUCUGUAGGGUGGACGGUGAGCCCCCUCGUGGGGUCAGCCCAGUUGUUCGUUCAGUGCCUCUGGGUCACCAAUGUCCCCCGAGAGUGCUGGGUCCCAAGCUUCUCUGAGGUGCUGAGCAUAACCCAAAACAGUGCUUGCAUGCUAGAUACAACAGCAGGUCUGUGAUGCUCCCAGAUGUCCUGGGCCGCACGCGCACUACAUUGACACAGUGAAGGUGUUAGCUCCUUGCUAUAUGCUGAGGCCCUGCCCAGAAGUGGGUGAGAAACCAUACAAGCCUGUGUUGUCCUGGGGAUAGAUGAUUGCAACUGUCUGCCUUGAACGAGGAAUGCCUUGUAGGCGUGUGUCAUCAGCACACACCGAAUACGUCCCUGCCAUUUGUACACACCGCCCGUCGUUGCUACCGAUGACAACAGGAUAGAGCCAUCCGGAGGCGCCAUGCCCUAGAAUCUGGUGUGAGCCGAAAUCGGGCAAUGUCAAGCUGUUAGAGGAAGCAAAAGUC